CCACUAGGGGGCGCUAUGGAACCCCAUCCCAACCUACCGCUCCCAUUGGGACCCCAGCCCCAAUUAAAGGGACACCAUGCCAUACCACAACCGUCCACUAGGGGGCAGCACUGAGACCCCAGCCCCAAUUAGGGGCCGCUAUUCCCCUUACCCACCACCAGGGGGCAGCACUGAGACCCCAGCCCCAAUUAGUUGCCGUUAUUCCCCUUACCCUCCACUAGAGGGCGCUAUGGAACCCCAUCCCCAACCUAUCGCUCCCAUUGAGACCCCAGCCCCAAUUAAAGGGACACCAUGCCAUACCACAACCGUCCACUAGGGGGCAGCACUGAGACCCCAGCCCCAAUUAUGGUCCCUUAUACCCCUUACCCUCCACUAGGGGGCGCUAUGGAACCCCAUCCCCAACCUAUCGCUCCCAUUACGCCCCCAGCCCCAAUUAGGGGCUGUUAUUCGCCUUAACCACCACCAGGGAGCAGCACUGAGACCCCAACCCCAAUUAGGGGCUGUUAUUCCCCCUCUAUCCACAAGGGGGCAGCACUGAGACCCCAGCCCCAAUUAGUUGCCAUUAUUCCCCCUCCCUCCACUAGGGGUCGCUAUAGAACCCCAUCCCCACCUAUUGCUCCCAUUACGCCCCCAGCCCCAAUUCCCCCCCGUAUCCCCCCCCUCACACGGUGGUGACUGACAGCAGCGGGUUGUAGACCCUCCCCCCAUCCGCCCCCCUCAACAUCCCCUGGAUCGUCACCCAAUUCUCCA
rnacentral:lncRNA from 1 species